rnacentral:misc_RNA from 1 species
UUUAACCGUAAUUUACCAUAAUUGCGCACGCCAGAUAUAUACAUAAUACAUAGGUAUGUUAUGUAGGCGUAUAUAUGUAGGUAUAUAGAUAAGAAAUAAGUUUUCUAGGAUAUAAUGCAUGUUGUAGAUACCGUUUGUAAUGAUAAGGGUUAAUUAAGAAAGUGACUCGUAAAUGGUUGGUUUCCAACAGAGAGAACAAACAGCGAACCGGGGUUCUCUUGGCUCGAACGAAAGAACAAAAGAAACAUAAGCAAGAUUUACCAGUCGCUCCCAAUUAAGUGUCGCCUUAAGCUCCUGAAAAAUAUUCGACGCUUCGCAUCAAUUUAUCGAGGCAACGUAAUUCACUCGGAGAGAUUUAAUAUCAUUAUUAUUUUCGUUGGGAUAUACAUCUCCAUAUUUAUAUAUAUAUACAUAUACAUGUACCAUAGAGAAAUAUUUACUUUGAAAAACACGAGUUUUAUCCAAUUCCAUACACACGAAAUCUGUGUGCUGAGUAACAAUUUAAAAAUGAUAUAAAACACAAUAAACGCGCACAGAGGGCUCGCUUCGCUUACUUUCUAUUCAAACUGAUUCCCGCUGUAUGCAGAAAUGGAAGCAACGAUGCCGAGUAAAUGAAAAUCUACCACUCUCGGUUAUUGCUUACGUUUCAGUAACGGGCUGGUGAAUAUAUCUGACGAUAAUGAAAUCAUUUCUCUUUGUAAGCAUUAGAGGCAAUGAUAAUUUUCAUAUAAUUCGCGUAACUUUUGCCAUCCCCGUGUAUCGAAUAUUUUAUGUAAAACAGAAACAACAUAACGCUCAAGUUCUCAUUAAAAUGUUACAACGUUAAUUAUAUUAUUAUUAAACUUUCGUGUUCGCUAUUCAAAUAUUAAAUAGUUUUAA